AUCGAUUCAUGUACCUUGCCAGUAUAGUCAGUUUCACAUUUAACAUCAUUUAGGGUGGUUACUAAAACAUGAUGAAAUCAUCUGGAUCCGACUUAUAUAUGCAUUUUGUCAUUUCAUAUAGCCUGUUUUCCAAAGUUGGUUGAUCUGAAUACUUCUCGAAACAGUCUUCCAGUAUCUUGGGUGCUUUAUUUUUGAUCUUUGGUGGGCAUAUUUCUUUGACCAUAUCCAUGUCAAUAUCUCCGCUGUCGCUAAUCACAGUCGAUGUCCAGACGCAAUGUACGUAUCUCUUUGCUUUUUCGUCAUUUCCAAAUUUUCCUGUUUUCAUCUCCUCAAUUGUAGAUUCCUUUACACCACUCCUAGCAACGCAAGUAUCAUGCAACAUUUUUACCAUGCUGUUGAGCUUAUCCCCAUAAUCCUCAGUGGAUAAAAUUGGCAUUCCUAAGGUACACCAACUGGUAGCAAAUAAAAA
rnacentral:misc_RNA from 1 species